rnacentral:tRNA from 1 species
GCGAGCAUGGUUCCGUUGGUUAGAAUGCCUGCCUGUCAGGCGGGGAGGCCGCGGGGUUCCAGUCCGUCGCUUGCC